rnacentral:rRNA from 1 species
UACGGAGGGUGCGAGCGUUAAUCGGAAUUACUGGGCGUAAAGCGUGCGCAGGCGGUUUGUUAAGCGAGAUGUGAAAGCCCCGGGCUCAACCUGGGAACCGCAUUUCGAACUGGCAAACUAGAGUCUUGUAGAGGGGGGUAGAAUUCCAGGUGUAGCGGUGAAAUGCGUAGAGAUCUGGAGGAAUACCAGUGGCGAAAGCGACUCCCUGGACUGACCCUGACGCUGAGGCUCGAAAGCAUGGGUAGCGAACAGG